GACGAACGCUGGCGGCGUGCCUAAUACAUGCCAGUAGAACGCUGAAGGAGGAGCUUGCUCUUCUGGAUGAGUUGCGAACGGGUGAGUAACGCGUAGGUAACCUGCCUGGUAGCGGGGGAUAACUAUUGGAAACGAUAGCUAAUACCGCAUAAGAGUAGAUGUUGCAUGACAUUUGCUUAAAAGGUGCAAUUGCAUCACUACCAGAUGGACCUGCGUUGUAUUAGCUAGUUGGUGGGGUAACGGCUCACCAAGGCGACGAUACAUAGCCGACCUGAGAGGGUGAUCGGCCACACUGGGACUGAGACACGGCCCAGACUCCUACGGGAGGCAGCAGUAGGGAAUCUUCGGCAAUGGACGGAAGUCUGACCGAGCAACGCCGCGUGAGUGAAGAAGGUUUUCGGAUCGUAAAGCUCUGUUGUAAGAGAAGAACGAGUGUGAGAGUGGAACGUUCACACUGUGACGGUAGCUUACCAGAAAGGGACGGCUAACUACGUG
rnacentral:rRNA from 1 species